rnacentral:rRNA from 1 species
CACCGCGGUUAUACGAGGGGCCCAAGUUGACAAACACCGGCGUAAAAAGUGGUUAGUAUUUUUUUCUACUAAAGCCAAACACCUUCAAAGCUGUUAUAUGCUCUCGAAGAUAGGAAGUCCUCCCACGAAAGUGGCUUUAAACAUUACAAACCCACGAAAGCUAGGAAA